GCCGUCUCCCACGGACCCAGCCCUACCAACCUCUGUUCCUUCCAGCUGUGCCCUGAGUAAUGUGAAGAAGGUCUCCCUGGAGCUGGGUGGGAAGUCGCCCCUCAUCAUCUUUGCUGACUGUGACCUCAGCAAGGCUGUGCAGAUGGGGAUGAGCUCUGUCUUCUUCAACAAAGGGGAGAAUUGCAUUGCAGCAGGCCGGCUCUUCGUCGAGGACUCAAUUCAUGACCAGUUUGUGCAGAAGGUGGUAAAGAGGAGAGGAGAUG